UCCUUUUAACAACAACAACAACAACAACAUCUCACAGGUCUCUUAAGACGGUCCUAAACAAAAAACACAACUGUUUAGGUUUCGUCGUCGACGCGCUCAUCAACAAAGUCCCAGACGAAGAAAUUUAACCAAUACCAUAUCUCGAGGGACGAAGCGCGUUACGAUUUAGAUCGGAGAUCUCACCGAGAUCGCCGGUGAAUUAGGGUUUGAAUUUUGGUUUCCAAGAUGACUCAAUCUAUCUGUUCGUCGUCUCAAGAUCAAUCUUCUUCUCCUCGUUCUUUGAUUCCGCCACGCAAAUCGGCGACGAAUUUUCACCGCCGCAGGGGGAGGAGUGUAUUUAGUAUGUUGGUUCAGAGGGAAAUGUCACCAAAUGCGAAGUUUGUACCAAGGAAACGGUGGGGGAAGAGUAGAUGGUAUACUGAUUCUUCAUGCGGAACCAACAGCGAGCCGUUGAGAGAGGCGGGACAAAGUCUUACUUCAUGGGUUGAGGCAGAGUCAUUGCAGCAUUUAUCUGCAAAAUAUUGUCCUCUUGGAGCUCCUCCGAGGUCGACUAUUGCAGCGGCUUUUAGUUCUGAUGGAAGAACUCUUGCUUCUACACAUGGUGAUCAUACUGUAAAGAUUAUUGAUUGUGAAACUGGAAACUGCUUAAAAGUUUUGAACGGCCAUCAAAGGACUCCUUGGGUGGUCAGAUUCCACCCGCUUCAUUCAGAAAUAGUUGCUAGUGGAAGUUUAGAUCUUGAGGUCCGCUUAUGGAAUAUCACAACUUCUGAAUGUAUUAGAUCUCAUGUAUUCUAUCGUCCUAUUGCUUCUAUCGCUUUCCAUGCUGAGGGUGAACUACUUGCUGUUGCUUCUGGUCAUAAGCUGCACAUGUGGCACUACAAUAGGAGAGGAGAUGAAUCAUCACCAACCGUUGUAUUGAAGACGAGGCGCUCUCUGAGAGCUGUACACUUCCACCCUCAUGGGGCACCAUUUCUCUUGACCGCAGAGUGGCAGGUGAAUGAAAUUGAUUCAUUAGAUUCUUCAAUGUCUAGAGCAACAUCUAUGGGAUACUUGAGGUAUCCGCCCCCUGCUAUUUUGUUCACAAGCACGGAAAGCAAUCGAACUAGUUUGGCAGCAGAACUUCCCCUUGUGCCACUUCCACACAUGUCCGUGCCUGCACCUUCUGGAGGUGAACCAAGAAUUGGUCAAUAUACUACUGGUAAUACUGGUCAAAUUAGUUCCCAAUCAGGGUUUCAGAAUCUUCAGAGCUCUUCGGAAAAUGAGAACAGAACAUCGUCUCUUCCUUUUCCCUUGGCUACAUCCAGUGGUCCUUUUGUUUCAAAUAGUGUUCCAGGAAAUUCUCCUAGCAAUAUACUUUUUACCCGAGCUGGAGAUAGAACUCCUGCAGUUGAUGGCAUGAAUGUAGAUGAAGCUCAACCUGUUGGAAGAAACGGAAUUCCUAGCCAAGUUUCAACUCGAUCUGAUUUCCCUGAGCUUGGACAGAUUCGGCAAUUAUAUCACUUUAGGGAUAGAGUUUCCUGGGAGUUACCUUUUCUACAAGGAUGGUUGAUGGCUCAAGGUCAUGGUGUUUCUAAUCCAGUGGUUCCUCCUACUGGCAGUAGUAAUCAUGGCAUCGCAGCUCCAUCUUCAACAUCUCGUUUAUCAACAGCCAGUCUGGAGGCUGCAGUAGCGUUAUUAGAAAUCCCGAGUGGUGUUAACUUACAUGCGGUGUCUGGAAGAGGCAGAGCCCAGGAACAAACUUCACAACCCCAAUUCUCGGGAUCUGGAUUACCGGAAGGUGUGUCUUCUCAUAACACGCAACAUGGAAGUGAUGCUCAACCUGUAGUGAACAGGGUCCAGUCUGAGCUUGCAACCUCAAUUGCUGCUUCGGCAGCAGCAGCAGCAGCUUCUGCAGAAUUACCCUGUACUGUCAAACUCAGAGUGUGGUCGCAUGACAUUAAAGACCCAUAUGCACAACUGAAGUCCGACAGAUGUCUAUUUACAAUACCGCAUGCCGUCCUUUGCAGUGAAAUGGGAGCUCAUUUUUCGCCAUGCGGGAGAUAUUUAGCAGCCUGUGUUGCAUGUGUUUUUCCUCAUGCUGAGAUAGAUCCUGGACUGCAGACACAAGCCCAACAAGAUUCAGGGCUUGCAACUUCCCCAACUCGACACCCUGUCACAGCACACCAAGUCAUUUACGAGCUUCGUGUGUAUUCUCUCCAGAAGGAAAGUUUUGGUUCAGUACUUGUGUCACGGGCAAUUAGAGCUGCACAUUGCUUGACCUCUAUCCAGUUCUCACCCACCUCGGAGCAUAUACUUCUUGCAUAUGGGCGGCGUCAUGGUUCUCUUUUGAGGAGCAUUGUUAGUGAUGGUGAAGCAACAUCACAUUUUUUCACAGUGUUGGAGAUAUACAGAGUUUCAGAUAUGGAGCUUGUGAGAGUACUGCCAAGUUCAGAUGAUGAAGUAAAUGUUGCUUGUUUUCAUCCUUCUCCUGGAGGAGGUCUUGUUUAUGGGACAAAGGAGGGGAAACUGAGGAUCUUCCAGUACAAUACAGCGGCUACCUCAAACUUCACUGGACCAAAUACCUAACCUGAGGAGAAGAAGUUACACCUAACCUGAGGUAGCGUAGAAUUAUUAUAAAGAAGAUGCAUUAGAGUGGUAGCAGGCAAGAAGCAAACAUAGGUUUCAACGAAUCUUUUCCACACUCUCUUGACAAAGAAAUGUAAAAAUGAGAACGAAAAAAAAAAGAAUUGGUUUAGUUUUGGUUUUAAGGUUUGUAACAACGUGACAUUUCCUCUACAGAUUAAGUUAAAUAUAUAAACUAAAAUAUAAAUAGGCU